UACGUAGGGGGCAAGCGUUGUCCGGAUUUAUUGGGCGUAAAGCGCUCGCAGGCGGCUCGAUGCGUCGUGCGUGAAACACCCCGGCUCAACUGGGGAGGGUCGUGCGAUACGGUCGGGCUGGAGGCCAGUAGGGGGAUGCGGAAUUCCGGGUGUAGUGGUGGAAUGCGUAGAGAUCCGGAGGAACACCAGCGGCGAAGGCGG
rnacentral:rRNA from 1 species